UGAGUAUACAUAUCAGUUACCUAGCAAUGGCAGAAAGACAAACAUCCACAGAGGUCACUAAAAAUUCUCCAUUUCCUUCCAUAGUUGGAUGUAAGAUCAUCAAUCCUGAAUCAUUUGUUUUCCUUGUUGGUGUUUUGUGAAACACUCCUGAUUAAUUUGAUCUCCCAGUCAAAUGAGGAUAGAAGAAUUAUGGUGUGCUAAAAGAUAAUUGUGGAGAGAUUGGGCUAUUCUGUCAAGCCUUCUGACUUGUAGUGAUGCUGACAUGGAAAUGGAAUCAGAUGAUGACAAUACUAUCUUGGUUACAUUGAAAGAUUACAUCGUCAUUAUCAUGCUCUUUGUUCUCAUUGCCACUCUAAUUGUGGUCAAUAAGAUAAGUAAAAUGGCAAACGAUCCAGAAAACGAAAAUGAAUAAACAAAACUGGAGUGGGUAGAGACCUUGUGGGUUCAAGAGUGGAAGAAGGGAUGGAGAAUUUAUGAAAAACAGCAACAAUUCAGCAAGAUUGAUUUACUUUCUUUACCUUUUCACUUCUGUGAAAGGUAAGAGCCUAGUGCCCUUUGAUUUCAGCCAUGGAAACCAGGAAGAAUAUAGCUAUAAUUCUUGACCCUUCCAAA